rnacentral:rRNA from 1 species
UACGUAGGGGGCAAGCGUUGUCCGGAAUCAUUGGGCGUAAAGCGCGUGUAGGCGGCUAGGUAAGUCUGCUCUGAAAGCCCGGGGCUCAACCCCGGGAGGCGGGUGGAUACUGCUGAGCUCGAGUCCGGAAGAGGCGAGUGGAAUUCCUGGUGUAGCGGUGAAAUGCGCAGAUAUCAGGAGGAACACCAAUGGCGAAGGCAGCUCGCUGGGACGGUACUGACGCUGAGACGCGAAAGCGUGGGGAGCGAACAGG